AGAGUUUGAUCCUGGCUCAGAUUGAACGCUGGCGGCAGGCCUAACACAUGCAAGUCGAGCGGAUGACGGGAGCUUGCUCCUGGAUUCAGCGGCGGACGGGUGAGUAAUGCCUAGGAAUCUGCCUGGUAGUGGGGGACAACGUUUCGAAAGGAACGCUAAUACCGCAUACGUCCUACGGGAGAAAGCAGGGGACCUUCGGGCCUUGCGCUAUCAGAUGAGCCUAGGUCGGAUUAGCUUGUUGGUGAGGUAAUGGCUCACCAAGGCGACGAUCCGUAACUGGUCUGAGAGGAUGAUCAGUCACACUGGAACUGAGACACGGUCCAGACUCCUACGGGAGGCAGCAGUGGGGAAUAUUGGACAAUGGGCGAAAGCCUGAUCCAGCCAUGCCGCGUGUGUGAAGAAGGUCUUCGGAUUGUAAAGCACUUUAAGUUGGGAGGAAGGGUUGUAGAUUAAUACUCUGCAAUUUUGANGUACCGACAGAAUAAGCACCGGC
rnacentral:rRNA from 1 species